UUAUUUUAGCGGCGGACGGGUGAGUAACGUGUGGGCAACCUACCGUUUUACUGUGGAAUAAUCGUUGGAAACGACGACUAAUACCGCAUACGGUUCUUGGAAGGCAUCUUCUAAGAAAGAAAGGAGUAAUUCGGUAAAGAUGGGCCGCAUCUGAUUAGCUAGUUGGUGAGAUAAUAGCCCACCAAGGCAACGAUCAGUAGCCGACCUGAGAGGGUGACCGGCCACAUUGGGACUGAGACACGGCCCAAACUCCUACGGAAGGCAGCAG
rnacentral:rRNA from 1 species